rnacentral:misc_RNA from 1 species
CAGCGUAACCUGGCCGUUCGCGGCCGGCUACCCGUCCUCUGUCAUGCGAAUUUAGCGAUCUUACUUCCCAGGAGGUGUUGCGUAGGCCUUGAAACCUGCGUGACCGCCUGGGGUCUUUUUUGCAAACUCUUUGUGAGAAGCGUGAAGUCUGAAUUUUAUAUACAGAAAAAGCA